UUGAAACACCAGUUCUCAUAUGACCACCGAAGUUAAGCAAUGUUGAGGCUGGUCAGUACCUAGAUGGGUGACUGUUUGGGAAUAUGAACUGCUGUAAG